AAAGUAUUUGUGGUGAGGAGGGAAGGUCAGAGAAAAAGAGGUGAACAGUGUUAAAUUCAGAGGCAAAAGGAGAAAGAGAGCUACGGAAUGGAGAGAAUUAACAGUCCUAAGGAAAGCAGAAUAGAAAAGCCAGAGGAUAGACAAGCAGAGCAUCAGGCACUUUGGUGCUCCCCUGUAGAGCCAUGGCAUAAUGUGACCUGAACCCCUUGGUGUUCUGUACCAAGGCAGGCCAUGAUCCAGUACAACAGAGAAUCUUCAGAUGGAAGCAGAUGGCCUACUGGAAUGGAUGUCCAUGACAGAAAUGGAGGCAUGGGAUAGAAAAGAGAAUCUGCUCAUUUCUAAUUUUCCAUUAAACCUGAAUAUAUUG
rnacentral:lncRNA from 12 species